rnacentral:tRNA from 1 species
GUCCCUGUAGCUUAAUAGCAAAGCAUGGCACUGAAGAUGCUAAGAUGGCUGCCACACUCACACAGGGACA